GUGAAUCAUCGAAUUUUUGAACGCAAAUUGCGCCUUUUUCGGAAGGCAUGUCCGUUCGAGGGUACCGUUCAAUAAAUACUGUGCAGCGUUUUUUGUUGCACACGUUGAUGAGCUUUACAAGAAUUUUAAAUUUUUGGUGGCGUAUAAUGAACAGCGCGAAAGUUUUUUUCAGUUCGAGUGUAGUAAAAUCUUUGUUUGGGUUGUGAAAAAAUAUAAUCGCGCAAUGGGCGUGGCAAUUUCUUUUUAUCCCUGCCCAAAUGCCACUCUUUCCC
rnacentral:misc_RNA from 1 species